UACAGAGGAUGCAAGCGUUAUCCGGAAUGAUUGGGCGUAAAGCGUCUGUAGGUGGCUUUUUAAGUCCGCCGUCAAAUCCCAGGGCUCAACUCUGGACAGGCGGUGGAAACUACCAAGCUGGAGUACGGUAGGGGCAGAGGGAAUUUCCGGUGGAGCGGUGAAAUGCGUAGAGAUCGGAAAGAACACCAAUGGCGAAGGCAGCUCUCUGGGACGGUACUGACGCUGAGACGCGAAAGCGUGGGGAGCGAACAGG
rnacentral:rRNA from 1 species